rnacentral:lncRNA from 1 species
AAUGCUUCUUUUCAGGUGGCAGACCUCACCAAAAUGAACCAAACCUGAAGAGGAGGAAAAUGGCUGACACCAACAGCAGCUAUGAGGAUGUAUUUGUGAGGACUUCUGAAAGAGCCGCCAGGAAAUCCCAGAAAUGCAAGGGGACCAGGAGACAGUGGCAGCAAGGAGGGAGGGAAUACAGAAGAGAGCGGCAAGAAAACAAACUCAGAUGCUGCCUUGAAAGAGUUUAAGUCUUUCCUCCAGAGGAUGAAGGACCCUCAAUGUUCUUCCCAAAUAAAACCCCCAGUGCUCAUUGUCAAGAUGCUCAGUGGAACGUUGAAGGCAAUCUCAU